UUUUUGUAUUUUUUGUAAAGACGAGGUGGGUGGAUCAUCUGAGGUCAGGAAUUCGAGACCAGCCUGGCGACCACGGCAAAACCCUGUCUCUACUAAAAACAUGAAAAUUAGCUGGGCUUGUUGGUGUGCGCUUGUAGUCCCAGCUACUCGGGAGGCUGAGACAGGAGAAUCGCUUGAACCCAGGAGGUGCAGUGAGCCGAGAUUGAGCUUCUACAUUCCAGCCUGGGUGACAGAGUAAGACUCCGUCUCACAAACAAAAAAAAAAGGACGGUGUUUUGCCACGUUGCCCAGCCUGGUCUCGAACUCCUGGGUUCAAGUGAUUCGCCCACCUCAGCCUCCCGGAGUGUUGGGAUUACAGGUGUUAGGCACCGUGCCCAGCCUAUUUUUUACCUACUAAUCGUGCUCAGUAAGGAAAACAAAGAAAAUUGUUACAUACUCUGGACCAGAACUCAAGGAGCCAUUUGUUGUAUAGUAUUAUUUGUUUGCCAGGCAAGGUGGCUCACGCCUGUAAUCCUAGCACUUUGGGAGGCCGAGGUGGGCGGAUUGCCUGAGCUCAGGAGUUUGAGACCAGCCUGGGCAACAUGGUAAAACCCUGUCUCUAC
rnacentral:lncRNA from 1 species